CGUAUCCUUAAAGAUUCUGAGAAUCCUCUCAGAGAGCUCCUAACUUAACCUAAAAAUUCCUUGCCAGGAGUUUUAGCUUAGAAGUGAUUCCAGAACAUUUUCAGUGAACUCUGAGCCAGGAAUGGAUGAAAAAUCCUAUCUUAGUGAGGAGGUGUGGUUGACCCCGUUGCUAGAAAAUGGAGAAAAAAAGGAAUCGCAAGCCGAACUGGACUGAGGAGCAAGGUUUGUUGCUGGCCCAGUUGGUGAACGAACAUAAAGGCGACGAUUGUGAGAAAAGGUGGUAUGUGCUGCAGUCCAAGGCAAAAGAUGAGAUUGCAGCACACAAGCGGGAAUCCUCACUCACAGGGGGUGGACCACCUGCAAAGCGGCUGUCCCAGGUGGCCGACACUGUCUUUCAAGUCCUGGGACACUCUGAGGUCAGUGUCACCGGCUGCCAACAGGCAUUGACACGUCAAUGAUGCAGGCCCUUGAAAUGCAGCAAAGCAUUGAGCCAUCACAAGAACCGGGCCCAUCAAGUUUGCCGCCUGAACCAUCUGCAGCUGCUACUCAGGAUAGCCCGGCGGAUCAAACACCAUUCCCAUCCGCAGCACCUGCUCCGUCAGCAUCCCUGCAGGAGAGAAGAUUGCAACUCACAAUUGAUGUGUUUGAACAACAAAAAAAAGUCCUUUCCCUUCAGGAGGAGUACUACCGCCUUAAAAUUGAACACCUAAAAAAUAAACCAUUUAGAGAUUGUGUUCUGUGUCUUGCAUUUAACAAUUGCAGGUGAUGUGCAGUAAAACUGUGGUAGUUCUUAAUACCAUCACAAGUUCUCAAAUGACAUGGGGCUACAGCUUGCCUGAAAUGUAAAUUUGUGAAGUUUGCCCUGUAAGGCAGUCCACUCUGGGCUAGGUUCCCCUGUGGAAUGUGAAUAUCUUCUUCAUCACCAUCCUCAUCGUUGUCUCCAUCCUCAUCCUCAUCGCCAUCCUCCAGAGGUUCUGCAAUCUGUCUAACCUUGCAAAUAUUGUGUAAUAUUGCACAGGCUAUGAUGACUUUGCUGACUUUUUCAGGCCUCAGCCGCACCUCUCCGUGGAGAACAUGAAAGCGCCUCUUAAGCUGCCCUAUGCCACGCUCCACCACCGCUCUUGUUGUCUUGUGGGCCCUACAAUAGAAUACAGACCUUUAAUUAUUUGAUGGAAAUAUUGCACUACUUGGAUGCUC
ensembl:lncRNA